CGGCACGGGUGAGUAACACGUAUCCAACCUGCCGUCUACUCUUGGACAGCCUUCUGAAAGGAAGAUUAAUACAAGAUGGCAUCAUGAGUCCGCAUGUUCACAUGAUUAAAGGUAUUCCGGUAGACGAUGGGGAUGCGUUCCAUUAGAUAGUAGGCGGGGUAACGGCCCACCUAGUCUUCGAUGGAUAGGGGUUCUGAGAGGAAGGUCCCCCACAUUGGAACUGGGACACGGUCCAA
rnacentral:rRNA from 1 species